UAGAAACCUUGUGAUUCAUCAUCAAACACGACAACAGCCAUGACCACGCGAGAGUGUCUCUGAGAUAUAAGAGAUUAACUCUGAGAACAAACUCGUAACUUUUAACGCAAGAAUUGACUCAUAGAAAAUUCCUCAGUCUCUCUUAUUGGAUUCUCUAAUAUCAUACCUGCCUUUGCAUUAUUAUCAUUGAAGUUUGUCUCAGGUGGCAAGUUUGCUCCAGAAAAAGAGAUGACCAAAUCAUGCGUGCACAGUCAACAAGGAGUUGUAUCCUCAGCUGGCUUUAAACAUACAUCCUGUGGUAGCAGGGCGUUGCCUGUUGCCUCUCCAAGCAAAAAGUUAUCAUGAGGAUGAAUUUUUGUUGCUAUGAAUGAGAUUAAAAAAAAAGAACAAAAGAAAACACUUAGUAUUGGAAAAACUGGACAGACUUCUGUGGAUCAAUGAAGAUAGAAGACAUCUUCACCAAAAUAAACUCAAAGUGCCUUAAAAACUUACAUUUAAUUAAAGACACAACACCAUAAAACUGUUAGAGGUCCUCAA